ACUUUCCUAUCAAGUUAAAGGAAAGGGCAAAGAGAGAAAAAGGCCUUUAAAAAAAGUAAUUGAUGGAAUCCUCAGAGACUGAACGCCGGAUUCCGGCAUUACGUCGGAAAAGUUACAGUCCGAUCUUUGCGGCGACGCAAAGUUAACAUGAAUGCCUAAGGUAGCGAAAUUCCUAGUCGGGUAAGCAAGUCGGACUUGCCCGUAAGCCGGCUCAUAACGGUGAAGGGAUUCUUUUAUGCUCUUCUACUAGGAUAGAGCUAAACGAAGGAUUUUAAUACCGUGGGAAGUGAGGCGCAAGCCGAACCCCGUAACGACUUUCCCGGCGUAACGUCGGGAGGGCUCUCUUGACUGUCCUUAAAAAGGGCAAAUUUAAGAAGAGGGCAAGACGCCGGCCAUCAGUUCCUGGAAAGGAGGUAAAUAUGCUUCAUCCCGAGUAUAUUACAGGAUUUUGUGACGGAGAAGCAAGUUUCAGUGUUACAUUAUCUCCCAGGAAGAAAUUAUGGGAAGUAAGGCCGAGUUUUUCAGUUUCUCAGAAUAAAACAUCAAAAGGUGUUUUAUUCCAGGUUAAGGAUUUUUUUGGAUGCGGAUAUAUAAGGCCAUCGCUUAAAGACAAUACUUACAAAUAUGAAGUGCGCAGCUUAAAAGAUUUAACGUUAAAAAUUGUCCCGCAUUUUGAAAAAUAUCCUCUUAAGACUGAGAAACGAAAGAACUUUGAGGGUUUAAGAGACAUCGUAAACAUAAUGCAUAGAAGUGAGCACCUUAACCCCAAGGGAUUAAAAGAAAUAUUUCGGCUUAUGGAAAAGAUUAACCCCGGCAGUAAGAAAAUUUAUGACAGAAAAAGGCUGCGGGAACUGAUGAAUGUAUAGUCUAAGUAGAUCCUUCGAUUUUACUCAGGAUCGAUUCUGGGUAAUAUUGAAUGGAAUCGAAGUUCCGACCCGCACGAAUGGUUCAACAAUGGGAGCGCUGUCUCGGCAAGGUCCCCGGUGAAAUUGUAGUGGCGGUAAAGAUGCCGUCUACCCGCAGUAGGACGAAAAGACCCCGGAACCUUUACUGUAGGCUGGUAUUGAAUUUUGGUCCGGUAUGUGUAGGAUAGGUGGGAGGCUUUGAAGCGCAGGCGUCAGCUUGCGCAGAGCCGCCGGUGAAAUACCACCCUUAUUGUACUAAGAUUCUAACCCUAUUUUUAGGAGACAGUGCCAGUUGGGCAGUUUAACUGGGGCGGUUUCCUCCUAAAAGGUAACGGAGGAGCCCAAAGGUACCCUCAGUACGAUUGGAAACCGUACGUCGAGUGUAAAGGCAAAUGGGUGCUUGACUGUGAAGCCGACAGGCCGAGCAGAGCGGAAACGCGGGCUUAGUGAUCCGGUGGUUGCGCGUGGGAGCGCCAUCGCUCAACGGAUAAAAGGUACUCCGGGGAUAACAGGCUUAUCGGGCCCGAGAGUUCACAUCGACGGCCCGGUUUGUUAAAGCGGUACGUGAGCUGGGUUCAGAACGUCGUGAGACAGUAAGUGACCGUUGCUGUCUAUAAAUCUGGCUAUAUGCUGGAAAGUCCGGUGUAUCAUUCACUACUUGACAAGAGAAUACAUAGAGAUAUAUUAUCUCUAUGUCAAGUAAAAAUGUGAAAUGUGCGGAUAAUCAGCAGGCAAGGAAAGCAGAUGUUCCUGAUGAGUAUUUAGCGGGAUUUGUUGAUGGAGAGGGUUGUUUCUAUGUAGGGUUUAGUCAACGUCAGGAUUUGCCAUUAAAGUGGCAAAUAAUUACAGAAUUUCAUCUCAGUCAAAAUCCAAGCGGCAAGAAUAUUUUACAGGCUUUUCAAAAAAGAUUAGGUUGUGGAUAUAUUAAGCCUAAUCAUCUCAAGAAUAAAAGAGAUAA
rnacentral:rRNA from 1 species